rnacentral:rRNA from 1 species
CCUACGGGAGGCAGCAGUGGGGAAUAUUGGACAAUGGGGGGAACCCUGAUCCAGCGACGCCGCGUGAGUGAAGAAGUAUUUCGGUAUGUAAAGCUCUAUCAGCAGGGAAGAAAGAAAUGACGGUACCUGACUAAGAAGCCCCGGCUAACUACGUGCCAGCAGCCGCGGUAAUCCGUAGGGGGCACGCGUUAUCCGGAUUUACUGGGUGUAAAGGGCGCGUAGACGGCGAUGCAAGUCUGAAGUGAAAGGCGGGGGCCCAACCUCCGGACUGCUUUGGAAACUGUAUGGCUGGAGUGCUGGAGAGGUAAGUGGAGUUCCUAGUGUAGCGGUGAAAUGCGUAGAUAUUAGGAGGAACACCAGUGGCGAAGGCGACUUACUGGACUGUAACUGACGUUGAGGCUCGAAAGCGUGGGGAGCAAACAGGAUUAGAUACCCGUGUAGUC